rfam:Gossypium hirsutum cultivar TM-1 chromosome 15, whole genome shotgun sequence
UGUUAAAAAAUCCAUCCAUUUCUUCUAUUAAAAAUUAGCAUAGUUGAUGGAAUAACCAGACAGUUACACACGGCAUGUCACGUGUACUUCAUACAGACUUAGAGUGAUCAAUUGUUAAUAGUAGAUUUGGGUGAAAUUUAUAACA